AUCGCUUUGCAGUUGGCGUAGUCGAGUUGCUGCCGAUGCUCCUGAAUGAGCAGCAGUGCUUUCUGCAGGGACCGGACAUCUAGCCUGCCCAUUCUGUUAAGGGCAAAAAUGCCUCUAAAGCUACAGUCGUCGUCGCGAGCUUUGAAGGGUUUAGCGUAGACGUGCUAGACGUUUUGCAGGCGUGACGGCACUGAUGGAAAUAUACUGGGUCUUCGAUGUCAAGCACAGUGAUGCAAACAAAAAAAAACAUUAAGUGUACUUGAGCAUUUCUGUGGCUUGCCGGCAAGUGCAAGAAAGAUGCCACUAGUCAUUCGGCAAAUAUCAUCGCUUUAGAAGGCUACUUAAGUUAUGUCUACAGAUAUCUGGUAUCAAUAAAUGCUGUGAGAUGAAAAUGCA